rnacentral:lncRNA from 1 species
AAGUGCACAGCUCAGUAGAAUUAAAUACAUUCACACUGCUGCAAAUCACCACUACCAUCUCCAGAACUGAAACUGUGUGUCCAUUAAACAAGAAUUCCUCAACAUGUCUCCACUCAACAGCUGGUACAUACCUCAAACAGGAAUCACUGGACCAUAGAGUAUUUUGAUGUUUAAUUUUUUGAAAAAUCACCAUAUGGUUUCCACAGUAGCUGCACCAUUUUACAUUCCCACCAGCAAUGUGAAAAGAAACAAAAGAAAAUUUGAAAGGGGUGAUGUUCCAACAUAUCAAGUUCAUGAAGGGACAUAAUUAUGCUGUUAUGUGAAAGAAUCAACUCUGUGUGCUCAGCAGACCAUCCAGACACAUCCUAAGCAUUGUGUCUCCGAAGUAGAUCAGUUUAGCUGUGACAUCCUAUAGCAGUAUCUCUAUUAUGUGUCCUGUUCUAUUCAUCAGCAUCUCAACCGAAAAGAAACUCCUGGAGGACAUGCUCCUUGAAAAUAAGAAAGUAAAUGAAAAAAGAAGAUAUUGGGAGAGCAGAAUCAAGAGCUCCAACAAAAGACCUGCCAAAGAACUUCUGGGUUAUAAUAGCAAGUCUUUCCCAUUAAAGCUACUGGCAGAGAUGCCCAAAAUAUUCCUGAUUGAUUGAAGCCUCAUUUGCUAGUUCCUCACUUUCGGGAACACUAA